CUACGGGGCGAUGCAGUGGGGAAUAUUGCACAAUGGAGGAAACUCUGAUGCAGCAACGCCGCGUGGAGGAUGACACUUUUCGGAGCGUAAACUCCUUUUAUAUAGGAAGAAGAUGACGGUACUAUAUGAAUAAGCGCCGGCUAACUCCGUGCCAGCAGCCGCGGUAAUACGGAGGGCGCAAGCGUUACUCGGAAUCACUGGGCGUAAAGAGCGUGUAGGCGGAUUAAAAAGUCAGAAGUGAAAUCCUAUAGCUUAACUAUAGAACUGCUUCUGAAACUCUUAAUCUAGAAGAUGGGAGAGGUAGAUGGAAUUUCUGGUGUAGGGGUAAAAUCCGUAGAGAUCAGAAGGAAUACCGAUUGCGAAGGCGAUCUACUAGAACAUUAUUGACGCUGAGACGCGAAAGCGUGGGGAGCAAACAGGAUUAGAUACCCUAGUAGUC
rnacentral:rRNA from 1 species